AAGGUUCUAUCUAAUUUAAAUUUCUUAUUUUUGUUCUAAUUUGUUAUGUAUGGAGUGUGUGUAUGCAUAUAUCAUGACGAUAAAAUUUCACAUUUUUAAAGGGGGUUUUCUACAAAUAUCAGAACUAUUAAUAAUUUCCACACAACAUACUUUUUUAGAAAGUAGCCUUUUCAACGUAAUAUUAAAUGCCAACCAUCUAAUCUUAUAUUUUUAGUUUCAAAUGCUAGUAAAAAAAUUUGUACUAAUAUUUAACACAAUAUUUGCAUAGUUAACUAAGAUUCAAUGAUUGGAUGGCCCAAAAUAUUUUUUCAGAGGAUUUUUUAAGUGGUGUGUGUAUGGUCUUAUGUUUGCACCAAUUGAUUCUAUUCUACAUGCAUACCUGUUUGCAUGCAUAAGUACAUGUCCUGAAAUUUUAUGCGAUGAUGGAUAUGUUUUUGACAGUUGAAAGGAUUUGAGUUCAUAAAAGCAGUCCAUCUUGACCCAGUUCCAUUUGAUAUGGAACGUGACCUUAUCACUCCAACAUAUAAGAAGAAGAGGCCCCAGUUGCUUAAAUACUAUCAGGUAAAAGUUGUCAAAUUCUCAGGAUUUCAUUUCUGCUUCAAAAAUUAUUUCUGCUUUAUUAUUAUUGGAAUGGAUAGAAUGAGCUGUCUUUGUGUAUAUAACCUUUUUUUUCUUCCGGAUAUUUUCGUUCGACUGAGCAUAUAUAACUGAACACAGGUGUAGAAAUCUCAUCUGAUUGAGUUGACCAAGAGUCAGUUUUUAGAUGUCAUCUGCACCCAUGUUAUUAGAUUAGAUGUGAAUCAUAGUGCAACUGAUGUGCCCUGUUUCACUAUUAAUAUCAUAUUAGUUAUGAAUCAGUUACAUUACAGUUCAGUUAAAGUAGUCACUUCACUUACACUUGGCUUGUACAAGUACCUGUUCACAUAAGAAAGUUUGUUUCUUCUCGUAUUUCAUGUAUAGGUGUAGUUAACUAGUUAUGUGCCAAACAGACUUGAAACUGAACACUCGACAUGGUAGCUGAAUCCUAAGUAAUUUGGAAUACCUAACGUGAAUGUGUAAGUAAACGAGUAAAAUGUUUACAAGUGAUUAUCCUCUAAUUAAUAGUUGUUAGCAUACAAUUCUAUUUCCACUUCACUUUCAAUUGCAAUUUUCCAUUGCACUUUUAACGUUUCAAAGCCUGUUUUAAGGACUUAAUAAUUUCUGUAUUCUGAAAGCACUGACUGCUAUUUUAUUUGUGGCACAGAAUGUUAUUGAUGACAUGUACAAAAGUGGAAAUAAACCCCGUGCCUGAGAGAUGCUUUUGGAGUUGGUGCCAUGCCAUGUAGAUAAUUCAUUUUCUGCAUGUGAUUGUGCUUGCCUUUGUUCAUUUAUUAUUUCCUUUUGGUUAUUGUCUGUACAUAUGAUUAUGAAGAGACGGCAGAUGAUCUGCCUCACUCAACCGUGAAAGAUACGAUAAUACAAAGUUUAAACAAAUUGUUUUCUUCACCUCUAGCAAUAUUCGUUGCAAACUUUUGUUAGGAAAAUAAAAUAUUAUUCCAUUCCUUAUCAAAAUUAACAGUGGUGUAGUUCUUGUUUUUUACUUAGUGAUGUUUUCAAAGAUUUAUACAAUAAGCAGUGAAUGUGAAUUAUAACUGUUUGUUUUAAUGUUUAUAAUUGAUUGGUUGGACACUCCUUACUCUUUCUUGUUAGUUCUUCUGAAAGCAGUUCCAGAAUCCACCAUUCAUAUAAUGGAGAAUGUGUUUUUAAAGCUAGAGUAUCUCAAUCAUCUUAUAAUGGCUGUGGAGUUGUAUUCAGUGCAGUGAUAAUUUUUCUCAUGUUACUCAUUUGUGGGAUUUUCUCUUUUGUGGUAACACGAAGUGCCUCACGGACCAUGGUGACGUAUUAAACAGGGCACAGGACAAAUCAUCUAUUAGGGAAUAAAUUGGGAACUACAACACCUUCAUUUGAUAUUUUACAAUUACAUAAAUGGUAUUGUAGCUUCUUUUGAUACAUGAGAGUUUGGUGGAUGUAAAAAGAGAUAAUAAGGGACGUUAAUAAGAAAAUAAAGAAAUCUACAACUCGAGAGCUGGAAGCAAACACUCAAAAAGCAGAUUUUUAAAGCUGGCACCUUCACGUGUAGCUGUGUUGAUGGAAUCAUCAUUCAUUAUCCAUCGUACACGAGCUUAGAUUGAGAUUUUGUAUCACUUUAACGUUGCUAAGAAGAAUAUAAGAAAACAAGAUCGGGAUACACCAAUAAAGGAUCGAAAAUUUAAGGUUUUUGCGUUUAUUACGAAAUGUGAACCCUGUGGUAGUGUGGCUAUGUUCCAGAGUUGGAUUUUGGAGACAAAUGGAGAAAGAGUUAAUUUACAUUUUUUAACUGUUAUUUUUCUUUUACCCCGACAAGCUUAAGGUGACAAUGGAGUAAAUACAAUCAUGAAUGCGAUGAAAAAAGUUUCGAGGAACAAGUUAACCCAAAAACACAACCUGACUCUGAACUCCAACAGUUACACAGCUAGGACACAUAAAAAAACAUGAAAUUAAACAUUACCAAGACAGCCAAAAAAAAAAAAAAAAAAAAAAAACAUGAAUUUAAAUACAACCCCAUAUACCCAAAAAUCAAAAUUUGAAAUUCAAAAAUUGGAAAAAAGAAAAGGGGGAAGAAUGAAAAUCAACAGAAAAAGAACCUUCUUGGAAGCGCGAGUGAGAUUUUGUUGUUGAACCGUUCGUUUCAUAAACACAAGCUUCCAACAAUUUCGUAUUCUUCACAAAGGUAUAAUUAGUGUGAAAUUCACAAAAUUGGUUUGUGUUUUGUUUCUUAUGAGCGGAAUCGGGAAGGGAUGGUUUCGUCUAGUUCUUAAUGAAGGUCAAAGUGUAAAAUGAGGAUAGAUCUACUAGAAGAAAUGAAGAAUACAUAUACAUAUUCAUCAUUUUUUAAACCCAUAACAAUUAAUCAUGAAUAGAUGAAGGUUUAGUUUUUUUUUUUUUUUUUUUUUUUGGUUGGAUCGGAAGAGAUGAAGAUAUAAUGAUUGAUAUGAAGGAUGAAGAUGAAGAAAUGAAAGUUUAUUUUUUAUUUUUUUCAUUUAUUUAAUUUAGAAAAUAAUUACAUGACUAUUUUAUUUUAUUUUAAUUCAAUAAUUACACAUAUGGCUUGCCAUGCAAGUGUUAACUUGGUCAAAUUGACCAAAAAGGCUAAUAUGGUAAAUGAUGCUAAUUCAUAGAGGACUAAAUUUGUUAGUUUUUUUUUUUUUUAAUAAGAGUCAAAAUUACAACAUUUAAAAUGUUAAGAGGCCAAAAGUACACUUAAACUAAAACAAAUAUCUACAUUGUUAUUUAUAGUACAAUCAAUUUUAAGUCAAAACAAAACCUAUGACCGACCGACCAAUCGAAAAGGCAGUGACAAUACACAAUAAUUUGGAUAAAAAGACAACCAAUCAGAUAUAUUCUCUCAAGAGAAAAGAAAAAUCCAUUAGAUAUAUUUAGGGAUGUAAAUGAAUAUCCAUAGAUGUGUAGAUAGUGUGAUAUCCGUGUACGUUCUGUUGGACAAAUAUAAAAUCCGCGCCCUAUCCAUACCCACGCAAAUAUCCGUUUAGCGGGUAAUCCAUGGAUUUUGAGGUAUAUGCGGGUUUAUACAGAUAUCCAUGGAUAACAUUUAUUAAAAAAAAAAAACUUGUUAAUUUUUUUUAGCUAGAAUUUAAAAACAAAAGUUCAUCACAUGCAUUUUCUUUUCUUUUUAGCAAAACAUAAUAUCCGUACAUCAUAAUAACACAAAGAUCAUUGACUCAACAAAAACAUAAUUAACGUUCCUUAUAUUUAAUAAAAAUAAAGUUCUUUGAUCUGAAAAAUUAAAUAAAGCUUAUCAUAUUCAACAAAAACAAAGCUUCUUGCUUCAACAAUCCCGACCACUUUCCCUUCAUUUUAAAGGAGCGUAAUACAUACUUGAACAGUCGUGCAAUAACUAAUAACAACUCACUAACGAAGUUUGUUGCUUAGGAAUUUGAAUGAUAUUAAAGUUAUUUAUAAAAUUUACUCGAUUUAAUAGCGGGAUAGAUAUCCCCGGAUGCGGGUACCAUUAAAUCUGCAUCCGUAUCCAUUAAUUAGUGGGUAGUUUAUCCAUGGAUAUCCGUUAAAGUAUCCACUCCAUAUCCGUGACGGAUUUUAUCCAUGAAUAUUUACGGGUGCGGAUUUUUUUUUCAUCCCUCAGGACAUUUGUUUGUUUGUUUGUGUUGUAUUAAACAUUUUUCAAUUUACCAAAAAGAAGAGGACAACAUUUUAGUUUUACUCACUUGCAUGAGUCUUUUUUCAAAGUGACUUAGAUCGAGAGUUGAGAAUACAUGGCAUAGACUGUGAUAGACACAAUUUAAAAAAAUCAAUAUGUCAACUUUGAUUAAGACUCAAUUUUAACCAGCAAUUACGCUGAGCGCUCAUAUUUCUUCUCUCAUUUUCCAUAAUAAUACCUUUCUCUCUCCUUUUCUUACUUUUUCCUAUGCAUGCAUCCACCGCUAAAACGUGUUCUAGUGGGAGAACUGUUCUCUACAGUGUCAUCCACCUUAUUGAUCUCCAAUGCAUACAACAUAAGCACAUGUUCUUGUAUUCUAAGAACACUAAGAAAUAACAUUUAAAAUUUCUCAUUCUCCGCUUAACUUAACCAUUUUUCUCAUCGCGAUCAUCGUUGAGCCAUGGCGCAGAAAAGAUUCAUCAUUGAGGUUGAAAAAGCGAAGGAAGCAACGGAAGAUAAACCUUCAAGAGGACCUGCGUAUCGUAGCAUCUUCGCUAAAGAUGGUUUUCCUCCUCCUAUUCUUGGUCUUGAUAGUUGCUGGGAUGUUUUUCGGUUAGUUUUUCAUCUUUAUUUCGAUGCAAAUCUAUAUUCAUUUCAUCAAUUUUAUGUGAAUUUGAUAGUGUGAUGACUUGAGUUGAAGUUAUUCGUUCCUUAUUUAAUCUUCAUUUCAUUUUUCUUUCUAUGUACAUAAUUAGUAGAUUGAGUAAGACUAGCUACACUCUCUCUUUAAUACUAUUGUGUGAGUCUACACUUUGAAAAUUGAACUAGAUCAUAUUCUGUUUAUUUAAAUUAUUUUAAUUUUCGUUGAAUUUUUAUGCUAAUUUGCAAAUCAUAGCUCUCUGAUCUGAAUCAUCAUAAUAUCAUAACUAGUUGUAACAUUCAGAGUGAGUAAAUCAUAUUUUGUUAUAUUUGGUUUCUCAAAUUUUCUUUCUAACAUUGGAGAAAUAGUGUUUACUAAUCUUUUAUGUGUGUGCGCGCGCAUAGAGGACUUGAAUAUUUGAUUUAAAGUUCGAUUGUUAUAGUUUUUUUAAGAAAAAAAAAUCACUUUUAAGGUGUUGCAUCGUUUGUUACCACUUUUUAAUAAAAUCAGAAUCUAAAAACAGUUUCUUAAUAAGAAACUGUUAAGAGCAGUUUCUAGAAAAAAUAGAUUUUUUUUAGUGGAGAGAGAAAAUAUGGUUUAAAAUAUUAAAUUAAUUUUGUAACAAAAAAUCUCUUUUAUAAGUUUGUAUCCAAACAAACUAAAUUAUUUGUUUAUACGGUAAACAAACAAACGUAAAAUAGAUUCUGAUUUUUCAUAAAAUCUCUAAAAUAUAAUCUCUAAAUUAUUUUAUGUCAAAAUCACUUUUAUUUUAAUCCGUAACAAACCAGCCUUUAAUUUUGGCUCGAUUUUGGACUAAGUAUAAGUCAUGUAUUACUUCAGUUUAAGUUAAUGUUAAAAGAAAAUAAGUGUUGUAUGUGCAGAUCGCGACAAAUAGAGGUUCUGUUAUAACGUCGUAUAGCCGCUGUUUGACAAGAUUUUGUAAUAAUAAAUAGCUUAUCAUGGAACAAUACCUAUUUCUUCAAAUUCUGCUAUACUAUAGUUUUGCUUUUUAACAACACUAGCAAAAAUUUGGACCUGUAUUGAUAAGAAAUUAGUCGUUUCAGUUCUAAUUGUAUCAGUGCUUUUACAGAUUGUCUGUUGAGAAAUAUCCAAAUAAUCCUAUGCUUGGUAGCCGAGAGAUUGUGGACGGGAAGGUAAAGUAUUGGUUACUGUAUAAAUCUUUAAUUUUUUAUUUUUGGAAAUUUUCAUGCCAUAGCUUGACUGGUCAUGGAUUUUGACUUAUUUAAAUGCUCGCAUGUUAUUAUUACACUUAACAGCAUGGCAAGUACAAGUGGCAAACAUACAAAGAAGUAUAUGACAUGGUGAUCAAAGUCGGAAAUUCUAUCCGCAGCUGUGGUUAUGGAGAAGUAAGUCUUCUGUCUCUUCUCUUGAUUACCAGAAAAUGAAACCUUGUUUUGUUUUUGGUUAUUUUAAUAGCAUUUUCUUCUUUGUAUGUUUUUCAAAUUCUUGGAUUCUCUGUACAUGUUGGGUUGUUCAUUAUUUAAUAUCUACAAUCAGCAUUGACGUGCAAUGUUAAAAUUGUGUGGUUUCAUGCAAUUGGUAGCUUCAGAUACCUCUUAUUUUAUUUCUUUGAACAUUUAUUAUUGAUAAUGUUACUAUCUGCAUCAUAAAUAGUUCAAUAGUUAUUCACUUACCAAGAACAUGUUCAUGUGAGUUCAAUUGCUUAACUCAUUGUCACAGAUUUUUCUGAUGAACUUAAGCUGACAAAUUUGCCUAAUAUGAUUUUGACAUUUCACUUUUGCAUAUACUAAUUAUUUAUAUUGAUUAGUUUUUUUGAGCUUAAUUCGUAUAUUUCUGGUUUGCAGGGUGUAAAAUGUGGUAUUUAUGGUGCCAAUUCUGCAGAGUGGAUUAUGAGCAUGGAGGUACAUUUUAUUUUGAAUUUCUUUCGUCUUGGUUUUCUUUUAAAUUUUUCCAAUUCUAAACCGUUUUUUUUCCCCAAUCUUUCUCUUGCCGCCUGAUUGACUGAUGCCUCCCAUUGAAGGUCUUAUUUUGUGGUUUCAAUCCCUUACAUGGCAGCACGAAAUUAGGGAAAAGUUCCUUAUUGUGUGAUCCAGCCCAGCCCAUCUGUGAGGCAUUGUGAUUUUUUCUUCCAAAUAUUGAGUCAGUUCAACGGACCCCAAGAGUCGAGACGUCAUCCAUGUUAUGCACUCUCAUUUGGAACCUUAUUUCCGAUUUAAAUCCCCCAAAAUGUAUCCUAAGAGUUGUUCAUCUUGAACGACUCCAUCUUGCACUUCGAAGUUCUACACAUGCUCCUCCACUGAGUCCGUCCGAUCCAAUGUGUCCAACUUUUUCCCUCUUGUUUCUCCCUAAACCUUCUAAUCAAAGUCAUUGUAGAGGCUUUGCAACCAGUUAUAGGCUUUAAUUGAGCAAAAACUGAAAUUGAUUGUUGUCGCGCUUCCCAUUUUCUAGAUAUUAAUUUGUAAGGCAACUGCAGUUUCGCUGCCAAACUUUGCACCUCAAAGAUUUUCUCCAACUCUGCAAUCAACUUUCCUUCUCCAAGGCUCCAACUUUGUCCACACCUUCCCGGAUCCGAUUUGUACUCUUCUAACCUCCUUUUCAUUUACCUAUCCUAUUAACCCAUUCCAACACAAUACAUCUGUUUUUCAACUGUCCUUCCCUUACCUCUCCUAGAAUACACUUUUAAUGCCCUCUCUCCUUAAUACAAUACAUUCACUCUGUUGCAGAUUAUGGUAAUAUUUGUUUUUUUUUUUUUUGGUUUUAUACCCGUUCUUAUUUAUUUCUUUGUCUCCUAUGUUUUCUUUUGGUUUUUAUUGUCUGUCAGUAGUCCUUGUUGAAUAUAAAGGGCAAUAAGUUGUUUCUUGAUUGAAACUCUGUUUCAUCUUUUGAAUGUCUACUUUCUACAGUGUUCUGCUUCUAUUAUUUAUUGCUCUUGUGCUUUCGCAGUGCUGUUAGUGGACAUCCCUGGUCGCCUUGUUAUAGUAUUCCUUUUACUAGCUUCUUCCACUCGAUUGUUAUAAAGUUUUAAAUAUUCAAAUAAUUGCAGGCUUGCAAUGCUCAUGGACUUCAUUGUGUUCCUUUAUAUGAUACCUUAGGUAUGUGUAAACGUUUAGCAUGUUUGUACACAGUGAUGGUGCUUUGUCCGCAAUUAGCAAUUGAAUUUUGGUUUCCAAACCUGUUGUACAUGAGAUUUUACACUUUGAUGUUAUUAGAAAAGUUGCAACGUUUUUGUCAAUAUGGCAUUUUUUGCUGACUUUCACCCAAGCUCACCAAUUUAUGCGAAAAACUUACCUGUACUAUUAACAAAGUUCCUUAUAUUUUGAUAAAAAAAAUAUGCAAGUUCUAAAUUCACACAUUAUUAAGAACUUUGAUGUCUAUCUGGCAUAUUUUUGUUUUUAUCCCUUGUGAUUUUAUAAAAAAAAAAAGUGAUUUCAUUGAUCAAUUCUUUGAAAAUCUUACCUACUUUAUGAGCAAAGUUUUUUUUUUUUAUUGCUGAAAAAUUACUAAACCUUCACCGAAAUUUGUCAGUUGCCUAAAAUUGUGAUAAACUAUCUCACAGCAAUAAUAACUUGUUUGAAAUUUAUUACAGUACUAUGCAGGAAAUUAGUGGGACUCACACUUUGGAAAUGAGUUAUAAAUAAAGUGGUGGGACCCAUGUGGAUUUGACCCGAUAAAAUGUGGGUGUUAAAAGAGUGUUUUUAGCAUUUAAUACUGGUUGAAUGUCCCAUAGUCUAGAUAUUAAUCAGUAUUUUGGUAGGUUAUUUUUCCACUUCGCCGAAAAUAAAUGCCAUUCUAAUAUUUUCAAAUUCAGUUUUCUAAUUUUGAAUUUCCAAUUAUCACUGGUUUUGACACUCUCAAACAUAUAUGACUUAGGUUCUGGGGCCAUAGAAUUUAUUAUAUGCCAUGCAGAGGUCUCAAUUGCAUUUGCAGAAGAAAAGAAGAUACCUGAGGUUCAUCUAUUGAAAUAAUCUAUUUCUUAGUAGUUUAUUUUUGGGAAGGAUCAGAGAGUUGAAUACACUUUUCUUUGAACAGUCUGUCUGAUCCCUAUCUUUAUUUUAAAAACUUUUCAGCUAUUGAAGACAUUUCCAAAUGCAACCAAAUAUCUCAAGAGUAAGUGUUUUUUAUUAUCUUCUUUCUUUGCUAAAAUACAUGUGCUUUAGAGAGAAGCAAUGACUUUUAUGUUUCUAUACAGCAAUUGUGAGCUUCGGAAAGGUUACCCCUGAACAAAAGCAAGAAGUUGAAAAGUUCGGACGGGCAAUAUAUUCAUGGACUGAAUUUUUACAAUUGGUGAGUUAUUCAUUUCAUGUAUUAUUACUCGUUCUACUCUUACUUGAAAAUUGGACAUGAAAGCUGCUCCAUGUAUAAUCAAUUGGCAUUGCCUGCAAUUGCUGAGCCCCUUUGCAGCAUAAAUAGUUGGUUGAGUUGUAUCACUAUCUUGGUCCACCGGCAGUUAGUCUAAGUAAUAGCGGAAUGUGUGGAAAGAAAUAAGUUAACAUAAUUGUUAGUUGUUACGCAAUUCAAGUAAGAAAAAUAAGGAUGAUAUCAGGUCAAUGGAAACUAAUGCAUUGUUUGAAUAGUUGACUUGGGUCAAUUUUUGUAGAUACAUAUGCAUUAGAAGUUAUUUUUCUAAACCUCAUUACAAGUAUGGCUAGCAGAAAUUAAUGUCUCUUUUGCUACUUCUAUAAACAUAUUGUGGUUUCCAUUCCUAAUUUGACUUUUAAUACUUGCCACAGGGUGAAAGUCAGAGUUUUGAUUUACCUGUAAAGAAAAGAAGCGAUAUUUGUACAAUAAUGUAUACUAGCGGAACUACUGGUGACCCCAAGGGAGUAUUGAUAUCCAAUAGGAGUAUUAUUACCCUCUUAGCUGGGGUGAAGCGGCUAUUGGAGAAUGUCAAUGAUAAAGUAAAUAUUUAUCUUUUAUAUUUCAUUUGUAACUACAUGAAAUUGAAUGCACUGAGCACUUCGUAUGCACAAUUUCUUUUCAUUUAAUUUAUGCAUAUUAUAUAUCUAAUUUCAAAGCUCUGGAUGUAGUUUUUUUUCUUUUUCUUUUCAGGUUUAAGAUACUAAACGCUCAAGUGUCCUUUCUUUGACUUACAAAAUCUCCCCUCUUUUUUCUUUGUUUACAGUUGACCGAGAAGGAUGUGUACUUAUCAUACCUUCCUCUCGCACAUACCUUUGAUAGGGUCAUUGAGGAGACAUUUAUAUGGCAUGGUGGUUCAAUAGGCUUCUGGUGCGGGGUUAGUAUAUGUACUAAACUUGUCGUUAAUUCAUAGUGAUAAUAAUUGAACUUCAGAUUUAAUUUUAUCACCCCAAGAAGACAAAAAAUGAAAUUUUUUUGGAUUUGAAUAUGUCCUUGUCCAUCAUUUGUACUAUGGCUGCAGGAUGUUAAGUUGUUAAUUGAAGAUCUCGGGGAGCUAAAACCAACUUUUUUCUGUGCGGUACCUCGUGUACUUGAUAGAGUGUACUCAGGUAUGCUCUUCUGAUACCAUGUAAAUCAUCCCCCCCCCCCCCCCACACACACACACACACACACUUCUUACCUAUUUUUCUGAGCUGCCACCCCUUUUCCCAGCUAGAAAAAAAAGUAUAUUAAGAUUCUCAACUUCGGUAUGCAGGUUUGACACAGAAAAUUAUUUCUGGAGGCUUCCUGAAGAAGGCAUUAUUCAACUUUGCUUAUUCAUAGUAAGUACUAAUUGAACUUCCAUGAAUCCUCUAUAAGAUAUUAGGAAACCAUGAGUGUUCCUUUGUCAAAUCUUGCAGAAAUUAUCUUUUAGAUUUGUGUUAAUUUUCCUAAUUAGGUUGUUAUAUUUAACUAUUGGUCGUCCCAGUAAGCAUUGCACUGUUCUAAAUAACUUAAGCUCUGAGAAUUUAUUGCAGUAAGUUGAAUAACAUGAAGAAAGGACAAAACCAUGCAGUAGCAUCUCCACUUCUUGACAAAAUUGUGUUCGAUAAGGUAGUAAAGUCUACAAAUAUUAAUUAAUUACCAGCCGCAGUUUGACAGCAAUGUAUUUUCUCAAUUUGGCUGAUUUGGUUUUGCAAUUUUAUUAGGUGAAGCAAGGUUUAGGGGGUAGUGUGCGUCUUAUUUUGUCUGGAGCAGCACCUCUAUCCUUGCAUGUGGAAAGUUACUUACGGGUGGUGAGUUGUGCUCAUGUCCUACAAGGAUAUGGUAUGCUCUUUCUGUAUUUGAAAAUUUAAAUUCACCCGUGCAAUAAGCACAUAGAUAUAUAGUUUAAUCUUUAAUUGUGUUUAGCCAAGUCUGGUUUUGUAUUUCAAUUGCUGAAUAUAUGGAUAUAACUGUUGAUUAAUUUGAGAUGAGAUGUGACAAUUAGCAAAUUAAUUUUAGUCUUAAUGUAUGUUUUUAGAAAUAUAAAUAGUCUAACUGAAAUCUAUGUGGAAAUUAUUCUGAUGUUUCUUCACUCCAAUGCAGCAUAUGUAAUAAUGUUGAUAUCAGCAUAUGUACUAUGGACUUCACUAAUGUGUCUUUGUUACUAAUGUGUCUUUGUUGAAAUGAAAACAGGUCUGACUGAAACCUGUGCGGGAACCUUUGUCUCAUUACCAAAUGAACUAGAUAUGCUUGGAACAGUGGGUCCUCCUGUACCAAAUGUGGAUGCAUGCCUGGAAUCUGUUCCUGAAAUGGGUUACGAUGCCCUUGCAAGCACGCCAAGAGGAGAAAUUUGUGUAAAGGGAGAUACCUUGUUUUCGGGGUACUACAAACGCGAAGAUCUCACAAAAGAGGUUCUGGUUGAAGGAUGGUUCCAUACAGGUUAUUGGUGUUUUCCAAAAUUGAACUAUAUAAAUACUAUUUAAAUUGGCUGUUGGAUCACAUUUUGAAGUUUAUAUUCUUUUAAAGGCUAAAAUAUGGUUUUAGUCCCUGCAAAUAUGCCUCGUUUUGGUUUUAGUCCCUGUAAAAAAAAAAAAUUGUUUUUGGUCCCUGCAAAAUUUUUUGUUUUUGAAAGUAGUCCCUGGAGGGACUAUUUUCAAAAACAAAAAAUUUUACAGGGACCUUUUUUAAAAACAAAAUAUUUUGCAGGGACCAAAAACUAAAAAAUUGGUUCAGUUAUAAUGUGCCACGUAUGCAAAUCAUCACAAAAGUGGGGUCAGGGACUAUUUUCAAAAACAAAAUUUUACAGGGACCAAAAACAAUUUUUUUUUUAUAGGGACUAAAACCAAAACGAGGCAUAUUUGCAGGGACUAAAACCAUAUUUUAGCCUCUUUUAAAUUGCGUGAUUUAUUCAACAGGGGACAUUGGAGAGUGGCAACCUAAUGGAAGUAUGAAGAUUAUUGAUCGGAAGAAGAAUAUAUUCAAGCUUUCACAAGGAGAAUAUGUUGCCGUUGAAAACCUGGAGAAUAUUUAUAGCCAAGUUCCUUCUGUUGAAUCUGUAUGUCUUGAGAGCCCUUCCAAUGGUUUUAGUGUCCGAGCUUGUAGUGAAAUUAUUCCCCAUAUAAAGUUGAAAAAUAUAUCUUUUUGCUCAUACUAUAUGAAUUGAUGAACCCGUUGGUUCAUUAUAGAAUUAUAGAAACUGUGCCCUUGAUGGGCCUGGGACAAAUGGGGCCAAUCUUGAGCAGCUAAUAUUUUUAGCUCAGUUUGAUAAUUUUUAAUUACGGAAUUCAAAAUAUAAGCAGGCUAUAGACUGAUGCAUAGUUAAUGCAGAGACGCCUAUCUCUAGGCGUGGAUAUAUUUCUCUCUUGCCUUAACAUAAUCUAAAUUACAUUCUUAUUUCUUGCUGGACAUAUAGUUCUGUAACUGUACUGAGCUUUAAAUUUCCACCAGCAGCAGACUAUGUUGCCCAUAGUCCUAUGUGCAACUGUGCACAGAUUCUGGUCCAUAUUGGUAUACUAUUACAUUAGUGUCCGCAUUCUGUAGUUCAUUAUGAUCAUUUGUCCAAUAAAUAGGACUAUUCUUGUUGCAUGUAGUAGCUGUACAAUUAUUCAUUGAGACAUCCAUAUGUAUCAGCACAUAAACACACAAAAAAAGUCUCUACUUUCAGCUUCAUUUCAUGAGUUAAAAUUGUUCUGUUCUGUGCUGAUUUGAACUUUUAUUCCUCCUCUCUCAGAUAUGGGUUUACGGAAACAGUUUUGAGGCCUUCCUUGUUACUGUUGUUACCCCCAGCAAACCAGCACUUGAACAUUGGGCAGAAGAAAAUGGUAUAUCCAUGGACUUUAAUUCUCUCUGUGGAGAUUCUAGGGCAAAAAGUUACAUACUUGAAGAGCUCUCAAAGAUUGGAAAGGAAAAGAAGGUUCUAAAUUUCUUAUUUUUGCUCUAAUUUGAUAUUAUGGAGUGUGUAUGCUUAUAUCAUGCUGAUAAAUAUUCACAUUAAUUAUCACGACUAUUAAUAAUUCCCACACAACAUACUUUUUUAGAAAGUAGCCUUUUCAACGUAAUAUAAAAUGCCAACCAUCUAAUCAUGUACUUUUAGUUUCAAAUACUAGUAAAAACAAAACUAAUAUUUAACACGAAAUAUUAACACAGUUAACUAAGAUCCAAUGACUGGAUUGCCCAAAAUAAUUUUGGUCAGAGAAUUUUUUAAGUGGUGUGUGUAUGGUCUUAUGUUUGCACCAAUUGAUUCUAUUCUACAUGUACACGUGUUUGCAUGCAUAAGUACAUGUCCUGAAAUUUUAUGCGAUGAUGGAUAUGUUUUUGACAGUUGAAAGGAUUUGAGUUCAUAAAAGCAGUCCAUCUUGACCCAGUUCCAUUUGAUAUGGAACGUGACCUUAUCACUCCAACAUAUAAG
rnacentral:lncRNA from 1 species